rnacentral:lncRNA from 1 species
UGGGGAGUAAGAGAAGAGAGGUCACAUUACUGCUAUGGCAGUAUUCACAGGGAUCUGACCUCCCAGCUGCAAUAGAAUUGUUGGUGUCUGACCCUUCUUACUCCUGUCUUUCUCCAGCAGAUCCUGGAAGAGCUGAGGCUUCUUACCACUGACUUGCUAAUCUGCCACGCUGUGACCUGUGCUUGUUGUGUGGUGGCCGCCACCGUCAGGGGCCCUUCUCUGCCUAUACUACGUUCUUAACUUUGUGGGCUCUCGAUGCCCUGGCUUGGUCUUCUCAUUGUUGACAAGAAGGUUCAUUAAACUAAUGGAUCCCAGCAAGGAUCACUCUACAACAAAGGAUUUCGUGGCAUCCACCGUCUCGAAGAAAAAAGGAAAAGGUGGGUGAAUUCACAAAUGAUUGAAGCAUCAUCUACAGACCCCAUGCAGCAAGGGUCUGAACUUCAGAUCAGGCCUGGAUUACCAAACUAGGAAUAAGAACUACAUAUAAUAAUAGAACUACAUCACAGCAAUAUCUUUUUUGGCCACAACAAUGAACAAAAUGUAGCCUGCAUUUCGUAGAAAAUCAAGGCAUGAACUCGGGUUCAACAAAAGCCAAACACACCUCUGAUCUAGCUAAAUUCUUCUAAAUAGGCCACACCAUUUCCAAGCUACCCAACCAACAUCUUGGCCUCCUCGGACUCUGGCACCUGACACAGCCCCUAUUGGCCAAGACUGCCAGAUAAUUCAUACUCAACACAAUGUGGUGUCUCAGCGCCUGACUCCUUGCUGUAUUCUCUGUCCUUUUCUCUGAUCAUGAGGUCCUUUCUCCCACUAUCAUUCCAUUGCCCCUCCUUGGACUGCCCUUGGUUUAUACUCCAUCCUUCUUGAGCCUAAUGUCUACGACCCAUGCCAGCACUUUUUCUGACCAUGGGUAGCUCAGGGACAGAAAUCUUAGAGCAUCCACCAGUCUUGGCAAACAAGAAGAAAAUACACAUCAUGAGCUAGCUGCAGGUGGUUUAACACAAUGGUUUAAACACAAGACAGACUGAUCAAAACACCUGUUCAGUGCAGAGCCGUGUUUCCUUAUUCAUGGGCCUUAAAACUAGAGAGGUUGAUGACUCUUUGUCCACUCCAUGAUGGCCAGGACAUCUUGAGAUAGGAUCUGUCUCUGUGUACCCCAU